UGGAGGAUCCUAUUUAAAAUAAGAAAGUUAGGGUCAUUUCCGGUUAAACCGAAACAACUGAAUACGUCAGCUAAUCCCAAUUUGGCAGCUACACCCAUUUACCAAAUUUAAUUUUUUUUACUUAAAAAUUAAAAAGUUAUAGGGGCGAACCACUUUCCUAAGACACCUGCUAUAAAGUAAUUCUAUGACCAACGGCUGUCCUUCAUGUAAGCACGGUCACAAAUCUUGAGGAAAGUUACAUCUGGAUAUUUCACAAGAACGUAAUCUCCAGUAUUGUAAAAUGAAUUCUGAAUGCCACUCGUUCCUGUUAUAUCAUUAUCCAAACUUCGAGGAGACUUGUUUGGCGUAGGUGUCAAUUCAGGAUUAGCAGAUUCAAGAUCUUCCGGUUCGGACUCUGUAAAUACUUCUUCUACUGUCCAUCUAGGUUUUUGAGCAAAUUUGAUACUGCCUAUCUUAUAAUGCUCACAAUAUCCGCUGUGGCAAAAACAGCUGAGACUUUUCAUUGUAAGUGUUUUACAUUUAGACGGAAGGCCGAGGAUGGAGUAUGAAACAACUAACUUCAUCGUGCAUCGUUAUUAACUAAACAUAUAGAUAGAAAAACAUAUAGAAAUAAUAGAUGCUACUUUUGUGAGA